rnacentral:rRNA from 1 species
CCUACGGGAGGCAGCAGUGAGGAAUAUUGGUCAAUGGGCGCUAGCCUGAACCAGCCAAGUAGCGUGAAGGAUGACUGCCCUAUGGGUUGUAAACUUCUUUUAUAUGGGAAUAAAGUGUGGGACGUGUCCUAUUUUGUAUGUACCUUAUGAAUAAGGAUCGGCUAACUCCGUGCCAGCAGCCGCGGUAAUACGGAGGAUCCGAGCGUUAUCCGGAUUUAUUGGGUUUAACGGGUGCGUAGGCGGAUUGUUAAGUCAGUUGUGAAAGUUUGCGGCUCAACCGUAGAAUUGCCGUUGAAACUGGCAGGCUUGAGUAUAGUAGAGGUAGGCGGAAUGCGUGGUGUAGCGGUGAAAUGCUUAGAUAUCACGAAGAACUCCGAUUGCGAAGGCAGCCUGCUGGACUAUGACUGACGCUGAUGCACGAAAGUGUGGGUAUCAAACAGGAUUAGAUACCCGGGUAGUC